GUAGCUCAGUGGAUAGAGCAAGAGCCUUCUAAUCUCUUGGUCGCAGGUUCGAUUCCUGCC
rnacentral:tRNA from 1 species